GAGUUUGAUCCUGGCUCAGAGUGAACGCUGGCGGCAGGCCUAACACAUGCAAGUCGAACGGCAGCGCGAGAGAGCUUGCUCUCUUGGCGGCGAGUGGCGAACGGGUGAGUAAUGCAUCGGAAUCUACCCAGUCGUGGGGGAUAACGUAGGGAAACUUACGCUAAUACCGCAUACGACCUCCGGGUGAAAGCAGGGGACCUUCGGGCCUUGCGCGAUUGGAUGAGCCGAUGUCCGAUUAGCUAGUUGGCGGGGUAACGGCCCACCAAGGCGACGAUCGGUAGCUGGUCUGAGAGGAUGAUCAGCCACACUGGAACUGAGACACGGUCCAGACUCCUACGGGAGGCAGCAGUGGGGAAUAUUGGACAAUGGGCGCAAGCCUGAUCCAGCCAUGCCGCGUGGGUGAAGAAGGCCUUCGGGUUGUAAAGCCCUUUGUUGGGAAAGAAACUUUCCGGUUAAUACCCGGAGGGAAUGACGGUACCCAAAGAAUAAGCACCGGCUAACUUCGUG
rnacentral:rRNA from 1 species